rnacentral:rRNA from 1 species
AUGCGGUACGACUUGCCGUCAUGCAUCCUAACAUGCUGCUGCUCCUCGUCCCCGUCCUCCUCCUCUGCUUCCUCAAUCUCUGUUUCUGCCGCAGCAUGCUCUUCGACAUUGCCUUCAGAACUCCCAUGCCGACGCCGCCGCUGGCCCUCUAGACGCUGCUCGUCCUGCUCGGCAAGCAGGCGGCUGAUGUUGCGGCUCUUGGACAUGAGCAGGAACUGCGCGCGCAAGCACCAACUUCUCCGCGGAAUUUCGUCGAGCACAGAUUUAAUUCAGGUGGGGGUUCAUGUGGGGGGUAACUGCAGGUUGAAUCAGUGA